UACGAAGGGGGCUAGCGUUGCUCGGAAUCACUGGGCGUAAAGGGUGCGUAGGCGGGUCUUUAAGUCAGGGGUGAAAUCCUGGAGCUCAACUCCAGAACUGCCUUUGAUACUGAGAAGCUUGAGUCCGGGAGAGGUGAGUGGAACUGCGAGUGUAGAGGUGAAAUUCGUAGAUAUUCGCAAGAACACCAGUGGCGAAGGCGGCUCACUGGCCCGGUACUGACGCUGAGGUGCGAAAGCGUGGGGGAGCAAACAGGG
rnacentral:rRNA from 1 species